rnacentral:rRNA from 1 species
GACGAACGCUGGCGGCGUGCUUAACACACGCAAGUCGAACGGACCUUCGGGUUAGUGGCGAACGGGUCAGUAACACGUGGGUGAUCUGCCCUGCACUUUGCGAUACGCCUGGGAAACUGGGCCUACUACCGACUAGGACCACGCGCUUCCUGGUGUGUGGUGGCAGGCGUGUGCGGUGUGGGAUGGGCCCGCGGCCUAUCAGCGAGUUGGUGGGGUAAAGGCCUACCAAGGCGACGACCCAUAGCUGGUCUGAGAGGAUGAUCAGCCACAUUGGGGCUGGGACACGGCCCAAACUGCUACGGGAGGCAGGAGUGGGGAAUAUUGGACGAUGGGGGCAAGGCUGAUCCAGCCAUGCCGCGUGAGUGAUGAAGGUCUUAGGAUUGUAAAGCUCUUUCACCGGUGAAGAUAAUGACGGUAACCGGAGAAGAAGCCCCGGCUAACUUCGUGCCAGCCGCCGCGGUAAGAC